CCUACGGGAGGCAGCAGUGGGGAAUAUUGCACAAUGGGGGAAACCCUGAUGCAGCGACGCCGCGUGAGCGAUGAAGUAUUUCGGUAUGUAAAGCUCUAUCAGCAGGGAAGAAAAUGACGGUACCUGACUAAGAAGCCCCGGCUAACUACGUGCCAGCAGCCGCGGUAAUACGUAGGGGGCAAGCGUUAUCCGGAUUUACUGGGUGGAAAGGGAGCGUAGACGGCUUGGCAAGCCAGAUGUGAAAGGCUGGGGCGCAACCCCAGGACUGCAUUUGGAACUGUCAUGCUAGAGUGUCGGAGAGGCAGGCGGAAUUCCUAGUGUAGCGGUGAAAUGCGUAGAUAUUAGGAGGAACACCAGUGGCGAAGGCGGCCUGCUGGACGAUGACUGACGUUGAGGCUCGAAAGCGUGGGGAGCAAACAGGAUUAGAUACCCUGGUAGUC
rnacentral:rRNA from 1 species